UGGAUACCGGACCCGACGUAGCACUUUCAGAGUUUUGGUACAAAUAGAUAGCCUUCCCGCCGUACGUGGCUGGCCUUGGCUCUAUAACCCGUUUUAUCAUUUCAUUUUAUCAUAAAAAUCACCGUGAUUCAUGUGUUUGUCCAUAAUUCACACCCCUCAGAGUAACGAGACUGCUGCACCAGCUACGAAGUCGAGUAACUCGUGCGUGCCUGAAGGUAGUGAUGAUAAAACGGCGGAAGCCCUUCGGAGGAAGAGCACCCUUCUGAACUCCA